GCCGGGCAUGGUGGUGCUUGCCUGUAGUCCCAGCUACUCUGGAGGCUGAGGCGGGAGAAUUGCUUGAACCCAGGAGGUGGAGGUUGCAGUGAGCUGAGAUGGUGCCACUGCACUCCAGCCUGGGCAACAGAGCAAGACUCUGUCUCAA
rnacentral:SRP_RNA from 2 species